rnacentral:piRNA from 1 species
UCCCAAAUGGUGUCCAAACCAUAUAAAUGU